rnacentral:rRNA from 1 species
UGGGGAAUAUUGGGCAAUGGGCGCAAGCCUGACCCAGCAAUGCCGCGUGAAGGAAGAAGGCCCUCGGGUUGUAAACUUCUUUUAUCAGGGACGAAGGAUGUGACGGUACCUGAUGAAUAAGCUCCGGCUAACUACGUGCC